GGCACCUGGCUCGGGUCCCCUUCCACAGUGCGGAAGCUUUGUUAUUUCCCUCUUUGCAAUAAAUCUUGCUAGUGCUCACUCUUUGGGUCCAUACUGCCUUUAUGAGCUGUAACACUCACUGUGAAGGUCUGCAGCUUCACUCCUGAAGCCAGCGAGACCAAGAACCCACCAAUUCCGGACACAGUGUGACAUUAGCUUUCAUCUCUGAUUGUAAAGGAGGAAAAGGAUUCUGACAUGACAAUGAAGAGACUGAAGAAGUAUCAUCAAUGGAUAAAGCAGAAUAGAAACAGCAGCCGCCUGGACCAUACCUAGAAAGGAAUCAUUUUGCCUGGCAGAAGCAUGAAACAGUUCCAUAUUUGAGAUGGCAUUUACCACUGAGGGAAAAAAAAAGUUUCAUGAAAGAAGCAAGAAUUGGACUGACCACACACUUGUCAUUGCCAAUCAGAUGCUGCGAAACAAUGGAUUUAUUUUUCAAAGUUCUGAAAUAAAAUGCUAAUCAAACUAGAAUCUGCUUAGCUAAGACACUGCCAAAUAUGAAGACCAAAUAAAAGAUUUUCAGAUGUGUGAUAAUUCAGAGUUUAUACUCCAAGCAUUCUUUUGUAGAAAGGAACUCAAGGGUGUAUUUCAGCAAAAUAAAGAAGUAAAGUACUAGAGCCAUCACUCAGAGAGCAAAUGACGAGACCAGAUGCUAACAACAAACAUUGUGUGACUUCCUAUCUCCAGCCACUUCUGAAGUCAGAUCUAUUUUCUUGAGUAAGUAAUUUUUUUCUAAGUUUGGGUUGUUUUUCAUACCAUUUGGAACCAAGAGUUCUGGUAGUCACAAUCAUGUUUGGAGGUACUAGAUGGACUGUAAAAGCAGAAUCUCUAUGUACCUUCUCCGCUGAACAGCAUGGGAAUUGGUGCCACAGAGAAAGAAAUGUGGUCCUACCAAACCAGUUAGUUCAAGAGCAAUGCUUAGGUAGCCAUAGUAAUUUAAACUGUUUAUUGAUUUAAAAUUUUUAGAAGUCACUGAGACCUUUAUAGUCAGAGAAAUUGUCAGCCUUGACAAGUAUAAAAGUAAAUGUACAUGUAACCAAAGUCGGGAAGUGAAAGAGAGUGAAGAAAGGUAGGUAAGGUAGACAGAGGGCAGGAAAGCCCAUAUCCUCAUCUCCCAAAGCAGAAAGUGAAGAGAUCUGCCCUGUGAAGACCAGAAUAAGAAUUGGAGGUACACUUAACAGUCCCUGCCAUGUCAUCAACAAAUGGUGUUGAGAACACAUUGUAGGAAGGGAAAUACUUACAUUCAUAGAAAUACAGAAGCCAUAUGAUUUUUAAAUAUCAUUUCAGAAGUUCAAAAAUAAGUCUACAAGCUCAUGUGAUAGAUAUUAGGUCUAUUCCUAAGUAGUCUCAUACUAUACAUGGAAUUUGUGCUUGGCGUCUUUUUCCCUUUUUAGGAACAUUUGGUCCACGGUGCAGUUCAAAAAAAAAAAAAUGGGUAAAGGACCAAAGCAGGCAGUUCAUGCAGGCAAACCCACACAUUCAC